CGGACGGGUGAGUAAUGUCUGGGAAACUGCCUGAUGGAGGGGGGUAACUACUGGAAACGGUAGCUAAUACCGCAUAACGUCGCAAGACCAAAGAGGGGGACCUUCGGGCCUCUCGCCAUCGGAUGUGCCCAGAUGGGAUUAGCUAGUAGGUGGGGUAACGGCUCACCUAGGCGACGAUCCCUAGCUGGUCUGAGAGGAUGGCCAGCCACACUGGAACUGAGACACGGUCCAG
rnacentral:rRNA from 1 species